rnacentral:rRNA from 1 species
UACGUAGGGGGCGAGCGUUGUCCGGAGUUACUGGGCGUAAGGCGCACGCAGGCGGUCUGCUAAGUUUGGAGUGACAGUUGGUGGCUUAACUGCCAAAGUGCUUCGAAAACUGACAGACUUGAGGGCUUCAGAGGGACACGGAAUUCCGGGUGGAGUGGUGAAAUGCGUAGAGAUCCGGAGGAACACCAAAGGCGAAGGCAGUGUCCUGGGGAGUACCUGACGCUCAGGUGCGAAAGCCAGGGGAGCGAACGGG